ACGUGGCAACUCGUGUCCCAAAUAGGAGCAGUCCUGGGCCGCUAUCCUGUGAGGGUGGAGACGCUCCCCGAGACUGGACAGACACCGAGAGGUGGAGCUGAGCUAAUACGAGGCCAAGGGAAUCCCAGGUAUUCCAGUUAUCCUGAACUCACCAUAUAGAAGAGGAUGACCCUGAGCUUCUGAUACUCCAUCUCUUACUAGGAUUCCAGGUGUGUGGCACCGCCUCUUUAAGUAUUAGGCGCUGAGUGAAGUUUGAGCCCAGGACUUCCUGCUUGCUGGGCAAGGUCUCUGAGCUACAUCCAGUGGCAUCCCUGUGCCAUUUCUGCAGCCAUUGGAGGAUCCCUUUCAAGGCUUCUACCAGGAGCAACUGCCCACAGUUCUGCCUUAAGAAUGCCUGAGAGACCUGGCAUCAGAGCCUGCCCCCCAAAUCAUCACUCACUCUGCCAGGCACACCAGGUCUUCCUCCCUUUACUCGCCGCACCCAAGAAAUCAAAACCCAAACUGAGGUAUCAGAAACAUGUUCUUUUUUUCUUUUAAUAGUAAACCUCUUUACAACAAAUAUAGUGAAAGAGUUUUCAAACC
rnacentral:lncRNA from 1 species